rnacentral:rRNA from 1 species
UACGGAGGGUGCGAGCGUUGUUCGGAAUUAUUGGGCGUAAAGCGCACGUAGGCGGCCUGGUAAGUCUCACUGUGAAAGCCCGGGGCUCAACCCCGGGAGGCCAGGGGAUACUGCAAGGCUAGAGACAAGUAGAGGCCGGUAGAAUUCCGGGUGUAGCGGUGGAAUGCGUAGAGAUCCGGAGGAAUACCUGAGGCGAAGGCGGCCAGCUGGGCUUGAUCUGACGCUGAGGUGCGAAAGCGUGGGGAGCGAACAGG